rnacentral:snRNA from 1 species
AAGGGGAAUCCGACUGUUUAA